ACUCCUGUAGCUCAGUGGUAGAGCGUCCGUCCGACCGGUGUGCAGAAGGUCGUUGGUUCGACUCCUGUUGGGAGAA